CUGCUGCCUCCCGUAGGAGUUUGGGCCGUGUCUCAGUCCCAAUGUGGCCGUCCACCCUCUCAGGCCGGCUACUGAUCGUCGCCUUGGUGGGCCGUUACCCCGCCAACAAGCUAAUCAGACGCGGGUCCAUCUUACACCACCGGAGUUUUUCACACAAAUCCAUGCGGCUUCGUGCGCUUAUGCGGUAUUAGCGCCUAUUUCUAAGUGUUAUCCCCCAGUGUAAGGCAGGUUACCCACGCGUUACUCACCCGUCCGCCACUAAG
rnacentral:rRNA from 1 species